rnacentral:rRNA from 1 species
AUGGUGCAGCCAGCCAGCCAUGUACGCUGUCUCAAUUGGUGGACGUUUAAUCUGACACUCAGACCGUGUAGCUGCUCACAUCUGAAUCAAGCCGCAUGCAUCAGCCAAGAGGGAGGGCGGCCUCAAUCUGGAUUUAAGCUAUUGGAGAGGAAGAUGCGAAAGUGGUCCACCAGAGCGAGGACGCUAAAUGGGUGGGUAGCGGAACUAGGAAGGCCCGAGAUCCACAUGAGGGUCAUCUCGACCAUCCAGCCCCAAGCGUCCGUAUGGAAGUCUGUCUGUUAUCGAGCAACAACACUUGCAUACUUGCACAUGGCUACAGCGAUGCCAAUUAUUCACAGAGAUAUCAAGUCAUCGAACAUUCUCCUUGACGAAAGCUUCUCCGCGAAGAUUUCCAAUUUUUGUGCUUCGAGGCCAAUGGCCCAUAAUCAGACCCAUGUUACCACCUUAGUGCAGGGGAGACUGGGGCACAUGGACCUUGAGUACUUCCAGACAAGCCAACUGACCACGAGAAGUGAUGUCUACAGCUUUGGAGUAGUACUUACCGAGCUAUUGACAACGCAGAGACCAAUAUUUGGUGGUAAGAAGGACGAGAAUUGGCCUGACCAUAUUAGCAGAGUGUACCCCUUCAUCAUUGACCCCAUACAUUUCAAGUACUACUUCUACAGGCUCAAAUUGCAUCAAGCUCUCGUGACAGUUACACAGCCUAUGGGAUUCUUCCAGUCCUCUAUGCUGGUCGGGUGUGAAGAUGGACUAACUAUGGGCACCCACAACCUCAACUACGCGCCCAGCGGCAGCCCCCGCAAGCCGGAAGCAUGCGACGCAGCGCACGGGGCGGUAGGACGCACGGCCAAGAGAGCGAGGGUGAGGCAGCCGCCAUGCGAGCACUAUGCUGAAGUUCACAUGGAGGCAGGGCGACAGGGAGCUGGAGCGCCUCCUAGCGUCGUUUUCGACGGGGCGCCGGCGGCCUCGCAUGCAUGA